GGGCUGGCUUUACCUCAACGGUUGGUUCUUUCAGUCAAUUGUGCUUAGUCACUUGGGCUGGUGGCUUCCAUCAGUCCUGUGGUUCGAGACCCGCGGGCGCUCUCCAGUCCUUUA
ensembl:misc_RNA Vault Vault RNA